GUUGCAGCCUUGCAGCCCAGGUUUGGCUGGACGCCGCGGGUCUCGGGGAAGGCUCUCCUCCGUCUCUCCGGGUGAGCAGCUGGCCUCACGUCGUGCCGUCAAAUCCGUGCACUGUCCAAAAAGCCAGUAACAGUGAACGCCCCCCAGCCAUUCGGUUUGGAGACCAGGUAUGACAUAAAGACAUUAUCUUCAGAAAUAAUCAUGAAAGAUAAUAGUAAUUAAAAAAGAAG
rnacentral:lncRNA from 1 species